UUAAGCCUAAUCAAUCCAUCAUUAGCAAAUGGUUAUUGUAGCACCACAUUUUCAAAUCAUCGACUAAUUAGGUUUAAUAGAUUCGUCUCGCGAAUUAGACUCCAUCUGUGCAAUUAGUUUUGUAAUUAGCAUAUGUUUAAUACUUCUAAUUAGCAUCCAAACAUUCGAUGUGACAGGUGCUAAACUUUAGCAGAGGUAUCGUUUGGGGCCUCAUUCUCUGACAUUGAACUGAUACUCACUAUCUUGGGUGGAAGUACGGAAAGACUAAUAGCGGUAGGCAUGAAUUCGGACAAUGAUCGCUUGCCAGAGACUUGCCCAAUGCACGUAGAGAAGCAUCCGUCUCAGAGACUGAAGCACGCUGUGAGCCUUCAUCUAAUAUGAGCUCUUGCUGCUGUGGUUCUUUCCUUGACUUUUUGGCUGUUGAAGAUUCAGGAUCACUACUAUGUUCGUCAUCACCAGAUGUGGCAUCAACAGGUGAGCUUUGACAUUUCCCAGAUGCAGAUUGCUGCCUCAAGUUAGCCUGUCUCUGCAUAAUUAAAGAAAUACCAAGAUGGAUCAUGCAAAUUCAGUUGCAGAGUAGGAUGAAAAGUUAAAAAUUUCAGAGGAACCAAUGCAUUGAACCAUAUGCAUCCAAGUUCAUAUGAACUAGUUAAAUGCCCUUAGCAGUAACUCUUACAGUAUGGCAACAAACAAUGUGAAUUGCAAAGCUAGGAAGCACAGGUACUAAAUGUGUUCACCGCAUUGCCUUAUCGCUCGGAAUCGUCCAAUGCUUGCCGUUCCACAUGUACAGCGGAAUUUCGUUGCCAUUUGGAAGCGCACGCCAUAGGGUUGGGCCAUCCGUUCCUCGCAUUUUCCCCGAGUAGAUCCUCACCACCUCGAAGGUCCGGACGCCGCUUCCUCGUGCGGCUCCCCAAGCGACGCCGAUCCGACUCCUCAUCCAAGCGCCGCCGCUGCUCCGAGCCUCCGUCUCCUCAUCUAGGCGCCACUGUCCCUCCGUCUCCCAUCCAAGCACUGCCGCCGCUCCUAGCCUCCGACUCUGUCAAUCUGCCUCCGUGUCCAUACAUCGUCGUGUCCCCUCCCCGUUGUUUGCAAUGCCACCUCCACCCACGGAUCUCUACCUCCGCUACCUCCUCCGCAUCCACCAUGGCGCCUCAACCUCAUCUUCCUCCUCGACACCCACUGCGAUGUGAGUUCUUCCUCCUUCCUCCUCUUAUCAGAUUGCCUAGGGUUUGCUCUUCUCAUGGCUGCAAUGUGAAUUCUUGUAGUUAACAUCUCGAUUCCCAAUUCUUCUGUCUGAGAUCCAAUCCUAGGAACAUCAACUAACCAGCACGAGCACCAGCACUGAUUCAAUUUUUUUAGUUAGAUAUAUAUGUUCAAGUCCUACAGAUAUGUACUCAUCAAAUUUUUAAGAUGAACACAAACAUUGCAGUAAGAAUGUAUAGUUAUAUGUUUCUUGCCUAUUUCAUUUUUCUUAUCGCAUUCUCCUUGUCAACCAUCCAUUUGUUUGUGCUGUCAUUUCAGUAGGUUAUCUGAAUUGGAAAAAAUAUUUACAUUGAUGCUGCACAAGUCAUCUUUGGUCUUUACACAAUCCUAGUAAUUAGUUAACUCUACUGCAAUAAAAAAUGCAUUUCUUGUUUCUUAACUAAACUGAAUUUUAGUUAACUUUGACAUCUCACGAGCUACUACUGAAUAAUUUUCUGCUUAACACUAUUGGUUACUAAUAACUUAAUUAAUUGCCUAAUCACGAUGAAUACUACCAAGGGUGGUUGUAAGUUUUUUUUUAGAUCAGGGUGGUUGUAAGUUGUAACACUCGGGCUGUGUGUAUCAGACACCUGUGCAGAGGUUGGAACUAUCUUUCAUUUUGUUUUAAGGAAAAAAAAAAGAUAGCGGUAGUACUGAUUAAAAAGCAGCAUUUGAAAGCAAUCUUACUAGAGUGUCUCUUGAAUCUUCAUAUACUGCGAUACACUGGCACUGAUGUUAUAUAUCUUGCUCAAUGCAUCUGCUUAUAAUAGUUUGCAUACGACGGAGAAGGUGACUGUAUAAAAUACCCUGGUUAAAUCUUCCCUUGCUUCCAAAGGAAGGCUUAGUUUGGCUACUGAGAGGAGGAGCUCAGGCAAGGCACAAGAUCUCUGGAGGGUGCAUAGGGGCCUGAUGAUGGCGACUUAGGCACUCAAUCUCCAUAUGUUCUUUCAGUGAGCAAUAAUUUGUAAAUGUGCCUUUUUAUUUCAGUGAGCAAUAAUCUAUCAUCUGCUACACCUGCACUAUAGAUAAUGUUCUUUCAGUUUGCCAAGCAGCAACUACGAGUAGCUGAAACAUAGAUAUAUAAUUGUCAAUGUCACUGAUUGCCUUUUUGAUUUCCUAUGCUGCAACUAAUCUGUAGAUAGCUGCAUGUAGACAUCUGUUCUGUUUGAAUUUGCGUAAUUCUCUGAGAUGAAUAGACAACUUCAUCUUUGUCAUGCCUUAAUUUUCUGUGCUUGAAUCAUGCCACUAAUUUGAAAUAAUCACUGCUCCUGAGAUAGUUGAUUGCAAUCUGUUUCUCGCAAAUAUGGUUAUGUGGAAGUAUCAUGACAAACUACUGCGAUAAAAACUUUGUUUGGACUGCUGCUAACAUAUGAUAAAUCUCUUAUACAGUAAUUAUAUCAUGCGGCAACAGUUGAGUUAAAAACUUUGUUUGGACUGCUGCUAACAUAUGCUAAAUCUCUUAUACAGUAAUUAUAUCAUGCGGCAACAGUUGAGUUAAAAACUUUCAGUUCUUUGUAUUCUGUUCGGGCAAGGCUUGUAGAAGCCGUAUGAGAUAGCUGACAUCGGUUUAAAGCUGAAGAGUACACCUGAUACUACUAUGUAUGUACCACUAAGAUAUUGUUACUAGCUGUUGACGUAGACAUGAUGUAUGGCUGGCUUAACUCACUCUUAUCACGGAUUAUUUAGCUCUUGGCUAUGCUGAGUUUGCGCUGUAUGUUUAGCAUGGUAGUGGUGGUGGCUGGUUUGUGGUAUGAUCAGCAAUGGAUUAAUAAAAUAGUAUAUUUCAUUUUCAUUUAUGAUUUUUUCAAUGCUGACUAUUAUUUAUUGUUUUUUUAGAAUCGAUGAACAGUGAAGUGUUGGAGAACAUGAAUACGGGAAAGAAUGUUGGAGGGAAGGUCCUUAGCUUAUUUUACUAGCUAAUCUCUUGUACAAUAAUUAGAUUAUGCGGCUACAGUUGAGUUGAAGGCAUUGUAGCAUAGAUGCUUAAAACAUGUAAAGAACAUAUAUUCAUUUAGUCCAGCUGGAUGCGAAUGUAACUUGGUGAUUGAUGUUGCUUGUUGAGCUUGUGGACAUGUUACUGAUUUUAUUUAUCAAGUUGCUAUUUUUUCUGA
rnacentral:lncRNA from 1 species